CCUAAAUUCUAAAUUCCAUUACACAUCCCAAAAAACUAGUUACAUUGACAAGACUAGACAGUAGUCUCGGUGUCGCCCUGCGUGUUCUAAUGAUCAUCCUCAAAUAUGUUACCCGUAAAUUACAAAAUCUUGCACAAAGUUCUUUCACUACUUCAAUUUCAAGAGGAAAGAGAUAAAUACAGUCUCAAAUUAUCUAAUUUUGUUCGUUGAAUAAAAAAUUGGGGUAUUUUUUUGCUCAUUUUCCAACUAUCCGUCACGCGAUUCACGCAUCAAUUGUUCUUGAGGACUUAGUGAGUGCAGUACUGCAGUUGGCCAGUUGUACUAUCAGUGAUGAAUAUUGAAGAGAAUGAGGCAGGGAUAUGGGAGAAUUGCAUGGCUUUUGCACAAAGAUGAUGCAAAAAACUUGAAAAAUAGUUUAGAAUAUCAGAUAUUGGUCCCUCCUUGUCUGUCCUCUUUUUGAGCAACUUGGUACCUUUAAUCAAAAUUUUGCACGUAGAAUACUUCUUAUGACAAAUAUCAACUGAAUUGGAUAGGGGCCGCGCGAACGCAGGCCCCCACUAUCACAAAUUAUGACGUACACUCUUCCUCUUGGGAAGAUGUUAGGCAGGCACCCCUCCAAAGUGCAAUGGAGGCCACCUACCUAGGCCAUGAGCCUUGUUGAUCGCACAUUGACCUCGUCCAGUGUAAGCAGGCUAUAAAGUUUCAGUAACUUACAUUCAAGUUUGGAUAUGGAAUUGGUUAGAGGUUGCGCGGACGCAGACCCCCACUAUCACAAAUCAUGACAUACACUCUUCCUCUUUGGGAAGAUGUUAAGCAGGCACCCCUCCUAAGUGCAAUGGAGGCCACCUACCUAGGCCAUGAGGCUUCUUGAUCACCCAUUGACCCUGUCCAGGCAGCAGUAGAAGAUUUCCGGAGUAGGUGAUCCCACACUGAAUGGCUGAAGAAUGAGGUCGGAAAGAGAAAGAGGUACCGGAGUUGAAGAAAAUCAUACCUUUCUUGUCCUUUUGGCUAAAUACCUAAGAUCAAGCCUAGGCCAAACAAAAACUGUUCAAGUACAACCCUUAUCAAGACCAAUCUGGGGAGGUUCCAAUGUAAGCACCCUUACUCUUAAGUGAUAAUUCUGAUAAACCUUUCUUCAUUGUUCAAGAUGGAACUUUGGAAAGUUCCUGUGUCGCUUUCGUUACCGUUAAAAUUGUUUAUGUGUGAUAACCUUGCUCCAAGUUCACAAGAUUCCAUGACUUCUGGAUCUAUUGUUAAUACAUUAUUUCAUCCAUGUACUCCAGAGUCCAAAUAUCAGAAUAAUAAUACUGAGUUCCUGAAGUUCGCUGUGGACAAAAUUCCCAAAAUAAGGAGUUGUACCACAUUGAAAAUAUUCUAGGAAACUACAAUAACUACAGGAAAUAAAACCCAAGAAUUGAGACCACACAAAUCAUACCUUUCUCGGCCUUUUGGCUAAGAUCAAGUGUAGUAUCUGUUCUUAUCAGUUUAAUAUCUGAUACGUGGACCAAUGGUCCACAACGAUAUUAAAUUUAUUUUUUAAGGGGGAAGUCCCACCACAGUAGCUUGCUGCUGGGGUCUUCAAGCGUCGCCGAUGCGUUGCACUAUUGCACGGGCCUGGCACACCCCACUUAUUCAAUAUCAACAUUCUUAGAAAAGAGUUUAACAGGACAUGGAAUUCCUACUAGGAUAGCAUAACUUUUUUAGAGUAGUAAUCCACUUCGUAUCUUAAAUAUGUUUAAGUUUUUAGGGACUGUUUUUAGAAGCUUCUGUUCUUCUCCAUGUUUGAUUAUUUUCUAGAGUAUAUUUUUAUAUAUUGUAUUUGCAAUGUUUUAUGGCUCCAAAUGAAAAAAUUAGAUGGCUUAUUAAUUAUGGAAAAUUUUAUGUUUAAGAUGGUUUUCGUUUAGUAAAUCUAUCAUAACCAAGUCAAUAUUUGGAAUCAAGUGAGUUAACUAGAAGUAAACAUUUUGACGGCAUAACUUUAAGGAACUCUUUAUCUUAUACUCGUAGUUGUUGAGGAAAUUUUAGUCCCCUUUAGAAGGUUCAGUUCCACAUUUCUACUCCAUCACAAAUUUUUAUUUAAACUUGGCAAUUUAUAAUUUUAUGAUUUUUUCAAAGCGUUCAAUUACAUCUUUUGCUGUAUCUAUUUCUGGUUAUGACAUACAUUUACAAUCAGCAAAAAAGGAACAAAAUCGGUAUAACUGUUGGUGUACUUACUGUGAAUCAAAUCAUUAAUACCUGUUCGAUUUUUAUUAGGAAAAUUUGUAAUUAUUAAUCCAACCUUUGCCCGGUUUUCUUUAAUUAAGCCAACCUAUGCAAUAUUUCUAAAUAAUCCAACCUUUAUGACCCAACUACUAUUAUUAAGCCUAGCAAGUUAAUAACCUGUUGUAACCGGUAUUCACCCUUACGUGGCUAUAUAACCCUUACAAUUUAAUUUUUUUCCCCCUCCUUUUUUUUAAUUGUUAUUCUAAUGUUCGUUCCUCUCUCCUCUGCGAUUUAAUUGCUUCAUCUCUGCAAUUUUCGUUCCUCUCUCCUCUGUUCAUCAUUUCUCUUCUACCUCUUCUCCACCAUUGUUGAUCCCUCAUACCUCUGAAGUUCGUCAAAAAUAAUCAGCAAUUGCUAUGACUGGGUUAAACCAAUCAACUGUUGGAUCCAGGUUAAGGGUUAAGAGGAGAGAAGGGUUAAGGGUUUUUUGAAGAAAAAAAAAAUAGAAAAUCCUGUUUAGGUGGCACGUGAUGUGACGUGUCCAAAAUUUUAGGAGGGAAAUCAACUUUAGGUUGUCAACGUUUUUAAUGUUGACUUUGUAACAGGUAACUGGUCACUCAGGCUUAAUAAUAGUAGUUGGGUCAUAAAGGUUGGAUUAAUCAAAAAUAUUGCAUAGGUUGGCUUAAUUAAAAAAAACCGGGCAAAGGUUGGAUUAAUAUUUACAAAUUUUCCUUUUUAUUAUUGUUAGGUUGUAGGUCUUGUGUGCUUGCAGAAUUGAGUACAUUUGCACCAUCUUAAUAUUUCAGCCCCCAUAUUGGUUUAGUUUUAUUUAUAUUAUCACACUCGUCAAAGUAUUCUCUCUUUGGAGACAUCUGAUAAAUUUGGAACAGUGCGGAGAAGGUAGCAUAGCCCUCCGAGCAAGAAUGACACGCUCGCGAGUUUAAUUAGCCAAUAAUACAAAAGUUGUAGCACUUUUCUAACCGUGCUGCUAAUUAUGCAAAGACGUCUAUUGAGAGAAUCAACUCACGAGUAGUAAGUGGUUGAUUUAUGAAUGCUAAGCUGAAACAUUUUCAUCUUACACAAACUAAGAAAUGUUUUGCUUGCUAUCUUAACGUGUUGAUUCUACUUUGAAAAAAUGUCAUUUGUUUGAUGUUGCUUCACAAUUAUGUAUCUGGACUUUUUGGUUGCGCAUUUGAGAUGUUCUGCUGAAUAUGAACUUGAAUUAAUGGUGGAUAAAGAGAUUAAUCUAAGCCUGUGGAUAGCAACACUAUAAUCAAUCUACUUGAAUGGCAAAGUUUGUCCAGUCUUUGUGUUGAUCUCCAAUUAUAGUAUUUAUACCUAUAUGAAGUAAGAACAUAUAACACCAACUAAUGUUCCGUGCCAAAGAGAUUAGACUAGUAAAUGAACAACAUAAUGGACCCAAAUAAAGUAAGAACGUAUAAACCCACACCUAUUUUAUAAAUGUAUGUAAGAUUUUAAAAGUUAGUAGAACUAUCUACUUCUAAAAUGAUAUAUUGUGAGUGGUUCUAUAAAGGUUAGUGUUUAGCUUUAUCAUCCUAAUAGGUUUAGGUGGUUUAGAGCAUGUUUAUCAAACACCAAGAGUUUAGACUUGAACCCAAUAAAAUACAAUCUUUUAUCUUUUAUAUCUCCCCAACACCAAACCCAACACCAACAAUAUUUAACAAGAUUUAUCAAACAACAUCUCUAAAAUGUCACUUUGCAAUUAAAAUACCAAUCUCUAAAAUGUCAUUUUGCAUUUUUUUAAAAAACAUUAUUGUUUGGUCCCCCAUAUGCCAAAUGUCAAGUUUUCCAUACAUGAAGUUGGUUUUCCAUUUUCUUAAAUAGCUUCACUCUCUCUCCCUUCCUUUCUCUCUCAUCUCUCAUCUCUCUUCCUAUUUUAUUGUUUUUUAUUCAAUUCUCUCUCUUAAACACCAAAAGUUGCACUAUUGCACGAGCUUGCUACUGGGGUCUUCAAGCGUCGCCCAUGUGUUGCACUAUUGCACGAGCCUGGUGCACCCCACUAACCCAUUAUUCUAAAGAGUUCAUUAUGCAAUAUAAAUUUUACCUGUCCAAGCAAAAUAAUCAUAAUGAUAGAUUGUUUGAAAUGUAAAACUUAAUUGAUGGAUUUUGGAAUGGGAAGCUAUUUGAUUGAUUUCUUUUGUUAGACCAGUCCUCUAAUAUCCUACACAAGGCUUGUCCGAACUGUAAAAUUCCCGAAAUUUUUGCUUAUCUUGGUCACAACAGUUGGGGAAAUAAAUAAAGAACUUGCACUUGGCUUGUUAGAAUCUCCUUGAAUGAACCCAUUCAAAUGUAUGCUAUUUUAUGCGGCAAGCAGCUGGACAUAGAGAUUUAUCUGGUGCUCAGGAUAGCAAGUGUAGAGCGGCUAGAGCCUACUUGAAUGCCAUAGUUCAUUCAGUCUGUAUUGGAAAUAAUGACACCAAAACCUGGAAGUUUAAGAUGACAAAGUUUAACAAGUGAUCUCCAAUUGCACUAUAUGUGGUAUUUCUAGAAUUCAAUGGAUUCAAUUGAAGUGGACACUUUUGCAUGGACAACAUUUUUUAGGAACAGUGAUGAACUGCAAAAUUAGAGAACAGAUAGAGCUCUUCAUUGUUUCUCCUCACAUACAUGCUAAUAUGCUACGAUUGCGAGUGAUAAGAGGAAAAACUAUUUAUUUGUAUACUAGUGUUUGGUAUGUUUCCUUUGCAUGAGCUCUUUGAGGUUAUGAAUGGAGUGCGUUAGCCCAACUUUUGUUUCUAUGUACAUUUAUGGGAUAUAUUGCUAUGAACUUACACAUUGAUAUGAAGAUAAAGGGAAGAAGAGGGUUAAAUGUGAUUGGUAACAGGAGAAAAAACAACGAUUGAAGAUCACUACUAGCUUUUGAGAGGCUUCUUCCCUCCCGAAUUGCAAAAGGAAGCUCAAAUAAACUCUCAGUUAUAUUUGUAGACAAUUCUUUUCCUUUCCUUCUCGCUCUCACCGCUAACUAAUUGUCUGCUGCUUCCUCAUACAGAAUCAUAAAGUCAUAUCCCUUAGUUCCCUCCCUUAGGUUAGUUCCUCCUUGCAGAGAGUUGUCUUCUUGGUGGAGACUGCACGGUCUAUGCCUCUUGGGGCCAUAUUGUCCAUGUCUGAUUUACAACAUAGUUAACAAAGCAAAGUUCCAGUCAACUCUUUUGUCUUUUAUUGAUGUGCUUUGUUACAUUUUUUGAUAGAAAAAUUAUUUUCUUUUUCAAGGCAGGAUAAUAGGUAAGGUAGGAACAUAUGGUAUUGAAAUCUUCCUGUUUAUUGCUAUUGACAAAGAUUUCACUUGGCAGAAAGAAGGGACUUUCACUUUUAUGGGUUUUGAUUGGUUCUAAGUACAAGUAUAUGCUAAGAAUAGCAUUUCAAUAUUUCGUACUUACGCUCAUCUUGAACUGAAAUUGGUGUGGGAUCCUACCCCGAAAAUUCUGACGUAUUGUCAUGUUUGCUACAACAUGUCCAGCACGUCAAAUGGCGAUCAUCUAUACUUAAAAAGUGCCAAAAUUUGAAGAUAUUAAGUCAGGCGGGACACUAGGUAAACCUUUUUGCUCAACUUUCAAUGUUGUCAUGGAAGAAGUAGAGACUUGGCAAAGUAUUUACUGAGGUUAUUUUAGAUAUAUGCAAACCUUCGGAAGCUAUUCAGCUUAUAGUGGACCUAAAAGACUGCAUAAGAAAUUAGAUGUGGUUGGCCUUGGCACUGUGAGAUGUUUAAUCGAGUUUAUGAGCUGCAACAAGUUGAGUAUUAAGUCCCACAUUGAAAAUAUAUGUAAAUAUAUCCUUAUUUAUAAAGCUCUUGCUUCCUCUAAAUAUUGUCUCUUCGAAGACAUCUGAUAAAAUUGGAACGAUACAGAGAAGAUUAGCAUGGCCCCUGCGCAAGGAUGACACGCACAAAUCGAGAAAUGGUCCAAAUUUUUUUGGUCUUUUUUGACCCUCCUAAAAUCUGAAUUUCAGUAUGCUGUUUACAGGAAAAAUUGUUCUUAUGGGUUGUUGUAAGCUCCUUGGAGGAACUACCUUUUAAAAGUAUAUGAAUGUCACUUAUUACAGCUGUUACACAAUAUUCUUUACUAAAGAUAAAAAGAAUAGUACGCUUUGUGAUUACUGUGUGGUUGUGAGGAGUAACUAAUGAGGCACAGGAAUUAGUAUCAUGUUAUAGCUUGAAUCUUUCUUUUUUUAUGAUGCUUGCUUUUGAAAAAACAUUAUUUAUGUCUCUUUUGGUUAUACCCAUGUGAUUAAGAAGGCAUAAGACUUAGUCAUAUGUUAGCCUUGUGAUUAAGGCACAUCUGUUGUAGCUAGCCUUGUGAUCAGAAGGCAUAAGGCUUAGUCUCUGUUGUAGCCUUAUGAUUAUGUCUGGUACACUGGUACUUUUAGUUGCUGGGUGAUUUUUGAGUUUAGGGCCUAGGGGUUAAGAUCGAUGUUCUCCCUCCACAUGUGGAUGUAGCUAAACCACAUAAGUUUUUAUGUUGUUUGCAAUUCCUACGUUGCCAGCUACAAGCCUACAGCAUCUACAGUUCUAAUUAAAUGAAGAUUAGGCUUCAUAUCCGGUAUUUUGAUAUAGUAAUACUUAUCUGUAUGGUUAGAAGUUAAUUAAACCUUUUGCAAGUGCUUGAUGAUACAUGACAUAGAUCUUUUAUUGUGGCCGAAUGCCGAUGCUUAAUGGCAAUAUAUUUUCUGUCCCUAGUUUUUGUUCCAUCCAUCAUUUUUAAUAUUUAACUUCAACAAAGAAAUGUAAGGAGAUUCUGAAAUGCAUAUAAGACAUUUUUUUUAAAAUUUUUUUUUUAGAAUCUCAGUGAUUGAUGUUGUUGAAAAAUUAUCUCCCUUGGUGCCCUACUUACUGCUGCUGCUUUCCUUACUCCUUAGAUAGUUAGAUUUAACUUCUUUCUUAUGUGUAACUGCAACCUUUAUUUUUCUUUGGAAUUUUUCCUUUUCGUAGUUAUCAUCCACGUAUCAUAUUUUGACUGUCUCACUUGGAGAAGUGAUAGUUGAAGCUGGAAUGUCCGGAAAUAGAUGUAUGUAAGUUCUGUAUGAAGCACACUUACCUGGUUUUCUCAUUGGCCUGGCUAUACAAUCAAGUGUAGUAAUUGUUAUUCUGUAUCAGUUUAAUAUGUGUGUAGUCACAGUUAUAAUUACAUAAAUUGUUUAACUAUUUCAUGGGCUUGGUUGACCCCUUCUAAGUCAGGCACCUUCUGAUGUUAGAAGUGAAUUUCUUGGUGAUCUUUUGUAGGCCUAUGUCAUUUGAUGUGUAUGUUGUAUUCAACUGUGGUAGUUGACGGGGAUCACGAAAUACUUAAUGUCCUAAGUUGGAGUACUUAACAACUUUCACAGUGAAAACAUGUACACAAAGAGCUUCGAAUUGCUUCAAACAGUUUUAACAAGGUCAAAUAGUUAUCGCAAGCUAAGUAGAAUAACAAGAGUUAUCUGAUUCCAGAAUUGUGAAUCUUUUGGCUGAACUUCCUUCUGCGAUGAUCCAACUUUUCUUGCUGUAUUUCGUCUAAUUGGUUCUGACGCCAGUCGCAAAAACCAUGUCCUUAGAAACCCUAGCUUCGUUGCAGAACCUCAAAGUUACCUAUUCCUGGUUAGUGAAAAAUCAGAGAAUUUUCAGAAUGCGUAAGGAUAGUUUGGAAUGGGCGCUUAAUCUUGUCGAUGUCUUUAGUGGGUGGUUUAUUGAAAGAUUUGGUAACCUGAGUUCUUGUGGGGUUUGCAAAUUAUCAAGUUCUUGAGGAUUGAAUACUUGCAUAUUGUUGUAAAACUGCAGUAAUGAACAAUCUUUUGGGGGACAAACCAAAAUGGCGGGGCAAAUAAAAAGAGAUGGAGAGAGUAGCACUUUCAUGUUCCCUUUUUAUUUUCCUUAUCCAUUUUCAUCCAACACCAUUGCCAUUGCUGUAUCCAUUAAAAUUGAGAAAACUAUGAUGAAAUUAGAUAGGGGCCGCGCGAACGCAGGCCCCUACUAUCACAAAUUAUGACAUACACUCUUCCUCUUGGGAAGAUGUUAGGCAGGCACCCCUCCUAAUGUGCAAUGGAGGCCACCUACCUAGGACAUGGGCCUUCUUGAUCGCCCAUUGACCCCGUCCAGGUAAGUAUGUUUCUAAGUAGUUCUCAGUUCUAUUUAAUAUUCAUAUAUCUUAUAUGCACCUCGUUAGUCAUUGAUGUGGGAUACUGUGUUUGUUUGUUGAAUCCUUUCUUGUAAGCAUUUUUUUUAAUGUAUUUCUACGGAACCCAGAUAUUAUAUAGAAGAUAACAAUGUGACAAGCAAAACAUCAUUAGUUGAUCAAUCAAUGAAUAGUAGAUGUGAAGCCUGUACUGGAAACAUAAACUACAUAAAUUUUGAGCCUUAUGAAAAUCUUGGAAAUUUUAGAUUUAGAUGACUGGAACACAAUGGAUCGACUUGUAUCUAAAACAAUCAGUAUUUGUCUUUUGUAUAGACUGCAGACAGGUGCUUCUUCAUAUCUCUUUGCUGGUAUUUCUAAUAGGCAUGUUCAAUCUUCUAGGUUUAGUACUGCCUUGAUCUAUUACUAUAUAUUAGGAUCGAAAACCUGUGAUGUUAUUCCCACCAGGUGGGUUAAUGCAUUUGACUUUUACCCCAUACCUUGCAUUUCAACUCGUGCAUGAUCUUCUUGAUAACUACUUAUUAUAGUGACCAAUAGUGCAUGGGUUAUUUUGCUAUUGGUGAAAGGAUGCUUGUCAACUAGAUUUUCAUCUUGAACUUGAGUGUGUCUUGACUCUUAAAUGUUGGGGCGAGGAUGAUCAAAUCCCCCCUUUGUCCUUUUCUUAUUUAUUCUCUGAUGCUUUAGAACAUGUCAAUUUAAUAGUUCUCCGUUCCAUAUGAUUUUUCUUUCUCCCCUUUGAAUUUUGGGGAUUGGAAGGUACUUUGGUGGAUUGGAGGUGGGAGAAUAUGGUGGUAUGUCAAAAGACUGUAGUGGUAUACGAAAUAUAAGAUGGUUAUCAUGAAAUACAAGAGUAUGUUACUCAAAUUACACAUAUAGGAUGUAGUGGUACAUAAGGUACUUUGUGGUGGAAUAUUUGGUGAUAUACAACGCAAUUUACAAUGGUAAUGUCGUGAUGGUGAAUCACAUUGAUGGGGUGAAAAUUGUUUAGUUGAUCCUUAGGGUUUGUGAGGUAGGAGGCAUAGACAUAAGGUCACAUAUCAAAAGUUUAAAUCGCGUGGUCGGUCAAUCAUCAUGUGAGGGCUGCUAAUCUGUAUGGUAAAUGUAACUUUGUCCCAUGGGGUGUGAUAUGGUUUGGGGAAAGUGGAGAGCAUUAAGUUAUGCCAACUCUAUUCCACAUCCAUUUGAACAUUUUACAUUUCUACCCCUCCUUCCACUCCUCACUGUUCUCCUAUGUCUUCUUCAGAUUCUUCUGCUAUCCUUCCGCAAAAUUUAACCCUUGAUCUUUCAGAGUCGUCUUUACAGACACAUCUCACUCUCAGAAAGUCUACAAGGCCACGUAAACCACCUUUUUAUCUUGACUCUUAUCACUAUCACACUAAGAUAUAUGCAGAGGGAGGCUUGGUUGGCAAGCUGGAUUUCCUAUCUCACACAAGGCCUGAUUUGUGUUUCUCUAUUCAAUUGUGGAGUCAAUUCAUGCAUAUGCCAAGAAUGUCUCAUGUCUUAGCCCUGCAUCAUGUCUUUAGAUAUGUGGUCAGCUGCAGGUCAGGGUAUAUUGCUCAAAGCUUCAGGUUCCCUAACUCUACAAACCUUUUCAGAUAGUGCUUGGGCAGCUUGUCCUAACACUAGAAAAUCUAUCACUGGAUAAAGCAUUUUGUUUGGUCAUUCUCAUGUCACAUUGAAUUCCAUGAAGCAAGGAACUAUUUCUAACAGCUCGACUGAGGUUGCAUAUAGUGUCAUGGCAGCAGCAUCUGUCACAUGGUUUGUGAGUCUUUUAGAAGAGAUUGGUGUUACUAAUUUAAAACCAGUGAAUCUCCAAUGUCUGCUAUUUCUAUAACAAGGAGCCCAGUCUUUCAUGAGAAAACCAAACAUAUCAAACUAGCCUGUCAUUCCACAAGAGACAAAGUGUUACAAGGUUUGAUGCAGUUCACCUACUUAAUUACCAACGCAAUCUCAGUUGGUUGAUGUGUUCACUGAAGCUAUUUCCUCACCUCUGUUCAAUAAGUUCUUGCCCAAGCUUGAGGGGGGUGUUAGUUAUAUUGAUGACUCAGCACAGAGCAGCAAGCAAGCAGUCCCAGCUUUACAAAGCUGGACUUGCUCUCACUGGAUUCUACCCCUUGUAACUGUUUCUAUUACAUGGUUUCAGCUAGGCUUCUUACAGCAUAAAUGUUAGUAUGAUUGGAUGCUAGUUUAUUACUGCUUUCCCAUUGGUUAUGACAACAAUACACUGUCCUAGUAUAUAUAGAGUAAAUGCCUCUAUUUUCUAGUUAAUUAAGAUAGGUUAUUACUUGUACUCAAAACAUAUUCUCUCAAUAUAAUAUAUUCCUUCUCUCUGCAGUUCUAACCAAACUGUUCUA